rnacentral:rRNA from 2 species
AGGAGUGGAGCCUGCGGCUUAAUUUGACUCAACACGGGAAACCUCACCAGGCCCGGACACCGGAAGGAUUGACAGAUUGAGAGCUCUUUCUUGAUUCGGUGGGUGGUGGUGCAUGGCCGUUCUUAGUUGGUGGAGCGAUUUGUCUGGUUAAUUCCGAUAACGAACGAGACUCUAGCCUGUUAACUAGGCGUAUUUCCGACAUCUCAAAUGCCCGCCGGCCCGGCGCGCGUCGCGGUCGCGCGCGGUUUUUACUGUCGGCGUACAAAUUAUUCUUCUUAGAGGGACAGGCGGCUUCUAGCCGCACGAGAUUGAGCAAUAACAGGUCUGUGAUGCCCUUAGAUGUUCUGGGCCG